rnacentral:rRNA from 1 species
GAUGAACGCUAGCUACAGGCUUAACACAUGCAAGUCGAGGGGAAACGGCAUUGAGUGCUUGCACUCUUUGGACGUCGACCGGCGCACGGGUGAGUAACGCGUAUCCAACCUUCCCAUUACUGUGGGAUAACCUGCCGAAAGGCCGACUAAUACCGCAUAGUCUUCGAUGACGGCAUCAGAUUUGAAGUAAAGAUUUAUCGGUAAUGGAUGGGGAUGCGUCUGAUUAGCUUGUUGGCGGGGUAACGGCCCACCAAGGCUACGAUCAGUAGGGGUUCUGAGAGGAAGGUCCCCCACAUUGGAACUGAGACACGGUCCAAACUCCUACGGGAGGCAGCAGUGAGGAAUAUUGGUCAAUGGACGGAAGUCUGAACCAGCCAAGUAGCGUGCAGGAUGACGGCCCUAUGGGUUGUAAACUGCUUUUGUAUGGGGAUAAAGUUAGGGACGUGUCCCUAUUUGCAGGUACCAUACGAAUAAGGACCGGCUAAUUCCGUG